GUGGGCACGUUGUCGUCCAGAGAGCAAGAGCGUCGCUCCCCCUCGCCUUCUCGGCCGCCCUCCCGGUUUACCGCCCCCUGUGUCCAGAGUAAGAAAAGGCUAGGGUUGCGCUUCCCUCCCAAGUUGACUAGGGGUGGGCGCGAGUAAAAUCAUGACAUAUUCGAAUUCCAGUGGACAUUAGAUAUUCUUUGAGAGACGGCAGGAUCACAGAUGGAGAGACAUUUUGCCACACGAUGAAUCACACACCACAUCUCAUCCCCGAGCUUCAGCUGCAGGACAAUGCUGCCAGAGGCCUGGUCCUCAGAGCUCACGUAAGCAUCUCUGGUGUGCAGUAUUUUUACUCCGUUUUUGACCAAAGACACCUGAACAUUCCUGGAGAAAACAGUGAUGUGGAUCUUAUCAAAUUUAAUGGGCACAUCUGAAGAAGGAAACUUGCUCAGCACCGUGAGCCCCACAGUGAAAGCACUUUUUGGCAAGACUAGAGUCUCACCGAUUUUCCCUUUCUCUCCUCGAUCUCCUUUCCAGCCUCUUAUUCCCCGGACUCCUGGCUCACCCUGGGGCCCCGUGGGUCCAGCUUCUCCCUUGGGACCAGGCUUUCCAAUAGGGCCCAUGGGGCCCGGUAAACCAGUUGGGCCCAAAGGCCCAAUGUUGCCCCUUGGCCCCUCAGGACCAGUGGGACCCACGUCACCCUUAUUCCCCUUCUGCCCCUGAGGCCCAGUCUCUCCUCGGAGGCCUUUCUCUCCCAUGGGCCCUGCAAGCCCCUUGGGGCCAUGUUUUCCUGGGGAUCCUCUUGAGCCUUGAUCACCUUUGAUGCCUUUUGCUUCAACUUUUCCAUCUGCUCCUAAAUAGAGAAAGAGCAA
rnacentral:lncRNA from 10 species